GACGUAGGGCGCGAGCGUUGUCCGGAUUUAUUGGGCGUAAAGAGCUCGUAGGCGGCUUGUCGCGUCGUUCGUGAAAACCCGGGGCUCAACUCCGGGCUUGCGGGCGAUACGGGCAGGCUAGAGUUCGGUAGGGGAGACUGGAAUUCCUGGUGUAGCGGUGAAAUGCGCAGAUAUCAGGAGGAACACCGGUGGCGAAGGCGGGUCUCUGGGCAGUAACUGACGCUGAGGAGCGAAAGCGUGGGUAGCGAACAGG
rnacentral:rRNA from 1 species